AUAAUGGGUCAGCGACUUAUAUUCUGUAGCAAGGUUAACCGUAUAGGGGAGCCGUAGGGAAACCGAGUCUUAACCGGGCGUUAAGUUGCAGGGUAUAGACCCGAAACCCGGUGAUCUAGCCAUGGGCAGGUUGAAGGUUGGGUAACACUAACUGGAGGACCGAACCGACUAAUGUUGAAAAAUUAGCGGAUGACCUGUGGCUGGGGGUGAAAGGCCAAUCAAACCGGGAGAUAGCUGGUUCUCCCCGAAAGCUAUUUAGGUAGCGCCUCGUGAAUUCAUCUCCGGGGGUAGAGCACUGUUUCGGCUAGGGGGCCAUCCCGGCUUACCAACCCGAUGCAAACUGCGAAUACCGGAGAAUGUUAUCACGGGAGACACACGGCGGGUGCUAACGUCCGUCGUGAAGAGGGAAACAACCCAGACCGCCAGCUAAGGUCCCAAAGUCAUGGUUAAGUGGGAAACGAUGUGGGAAGGCCCAGACAGCCAGGAUGUUGGCUUAGAAGCAGCCAUCAUUUAAAGAAAGCGUAAUAGCUCACUGGUCGAGUCGGCCUGCGCGGAAGAUGUAACGGGGCUAAACCAU
rnacentral:rRNA from 4 species